CAGCUCCAGUCUCCCUGUUGCUUUGGUAACCCACCCCCCUUUCCUCACAUCACUACUGCUGGGGUAUUUUGCUGCCAAGAUAAUGGUCUCUAUUAUGGAUUGAAUGUUAAUGGGCAGUCCUUUCCCCCAGACUACACCCAGCCCCUUCUGCAGCUCCACAUUUGAAGGCCUUGUCUAAGUGGCAUCUCAAUGAGAUGGUAAUAGAUACUUGAAUCAGCUGGAGAGGAGCUGUAGUGAUGGGGGUGGGAGGGGAUAGAAGAAGCAUUCAGCUUCUAAUCUUGAAAAGGGAGGACUGGGAGCUUGGAGAGGCAAAAAUGAGGAAAUCAUCCAUUAGAGUGCCUCAGCUGUGUAUGAAGUCCUAAAGCCAUUUCUUCCAGUCAAUAAAAGGGCAUGGAAGUCAUCCAACAGCUGCUGGAGGGACUGUGCAGAGUUACGACGGAGACAGUGACUCCUCCAAAGGGGUCUCGAGGGCAUCAAAAUAUCCUGGAAAGAGUACACCAACUUGGAGCGUUCCAGCUGCAGCUCAAUCCUCACCUUGCUGUGUGAACUUGGAGUAGACACUUUCCCUCCUGCAUGAUGAAUGAAUG